rnacentral:rRNA from 1 species
CGGGACACGUGGUAUCCUGUCUGAAUAUGGGGGGACCAUCCUCCAAGGCUAAAUACUCCUGACUGACCGAUAGUGAACCAGUACCGUGAGGGAAAGGCGAAAAGAACCCCGGCGAGGGGAGUGAAAAAGAACCUGAAACCGUGUACGUACAAGCAGUGGGAGCACGCUUAGGCGUGUGACUGCGUACCUUUUGUAUAAUGGGUCAGCGACUUAUAUUCUGUAGCAAGGUUAACCGAAUAGGGGAGCCGAAGGGAAACCGAGUCUUAACUGGGCGUUAAGUUGCAGGGUAUAGACCCGAAACCCGGUGAUCUAGCCAUGGGCAGGUUGAAGGUUGGGUAACACUAACUGGAGGACCGAACCGACUAAUGUUGAAAAAUUAGCGGAUGACUUGUGGCUGGGGGUGAAAGGCCAAUCAAACCGGGAGAUAGCUGGUUCUCCCCGAAAGCUAUUUAGGUAGCGCCUCGUGAAUUCAUCUCCGGGGGUAGAGCACUGUUUCGGCAAGGGGGUCAUCCCGACUUACCAACCCGAUGCAAACUGCGAAUACCGGAGAAUGUUAUCACGGGAGACACACGGCGGGUGCUAACGUCCGUCGUGAAGAGGGAAACAACCCAGACCGCCAGCUAAGGUCCCAAAGUCAUGGUUAAGUGGGAAACGAUGUGGGAAGGCCCAGACAGCCAGGAUGUUGGCUUAGAAGCAGCCAUCAUUUAAAGAAAGCGUAAUAGCUCACUGGUCGAGUCGGCCUGCGCGGAAGAUGUAACGGGGCUAAACCAUGCACCGAAGCUGCGGCAGCGACGCUUAUGCGUUGUUGGGUAGGGGAGCGUUCUGUAAGCCUGCGAAGGUGUGCUGUGAGGCAUGCUGGAGGUAUCAGAAGUGCGAAUGCUGACAUAAGUAACGAUAAAGCGGGUGAAAAGCCCGCUCGCCGGAAGACCAAGGGUUCCUGUCCAACGUUAAUCGGGGCAGGGUGAGUCGACCCCUAAGGCGAGGCCGAAAGGCGUAGUCGAUGGGAAACAGGUUAAUAUUCCUGUACUUGGUGUUACUGCGAAGGGGGGACGGAGAAGGCUAUGUUGGCCGGGCGACGGUUGUCCCGGUUUAAGCGUGUAGGCUGGUUUUCCAGGCAAAUCCGGAAAAUCAAGGCUGAGGCGUGAUGACGAGGCACUACGGUGCUGAAGCAACAAAUGCCCUGCUUCCAGGAAAAGCCUCUAAGCAUCAGGUAACAUCAAAUCGUACCCCAAACCGACACAGGUGGUCAGGUAGAGAAUACCAAGGCGCUUGAGAGAACUCGGGUGAAGGAACUAGGCAAAAUGGUGCCGUAACUUCGGGAGAAGGCACGCUGAUAUGUAGGUGAAGUCCCUCGCGGAUGGAGCUGAAAUCAGUCGAAGAUACCAGCUGGCUGCAACUGUUUAUUAAAAACACAGCACUGUGCAAACACGAAAGUGGACGUAUACGGUGUGACGCCUGCCCGGUGCCGGAAGGUUAAUUGAUGGGGUUAGCGCAAGCGAAGCUCUUGAUCGAAGCCCCGGUAAACGGCGGCCGUAACUAUAACGGUCCUAAGGUAGCGAAAUUCCUUGUCGGGUAAGUUCCGACCUGCACGAAUGGCGUAAUGAUGGCCAGGCUGUCUCCACCCGAGACUCAGUGAAAUUGAACUCGCUGUGAAGAUGCAGUGUACCCGCGGCAAGACGGAAAGACCCCGUGAACCUUUACUAUAGCUUGACACUGAACAUUGAGCCUUGAUGUGUAGGAUAGGUGGGAGGCUUUGAAGUGUGGACGCCAGUCUGCAUGGAGCCGACCUUGAAAUACCACCCUUUAAUGUUUGAUGUUCUAACGUGGACCCGUAAUCCGGGUUGCGGACAGUGUCUGGUGGGUAGUUUGACUGGGGCGGUCUCCUCCUAAAGAGUAACGGAGGAGCACGAAGGUUGGCUAAUCCUGGUCGGACAUCAGGAGGUUAGUGCAAUGGCAUAAGCCAGCUUGACUGCGAGCGUGACGGCGCGAGCAGGUGCGAAAGCAGGUCAUAGUGAUCCGGUGGUUCUGAAUGGAAGGGCCAUCGCUCAACGGAUAAAAGGUACUCCGGGGAUAACAGGCUGAUACCGCCCAAGAGUUCAUAUCGACGGCGGUGUUUGGCACCUCGAUGUCGGCUCAUCACAUCCUGGGGCUGAAGUAGGUCCCAAGGGUAUGGCUGUUCGCCAUUUAAAGUGGUACGCGAGCUGGGUUUAGAACGUCGUGAGACAGUUCGGUCCCUAUCUGCCGUGGGCGCUGGAGAACUGAGGGGGGCUGCUCCUAGUACGAGAGGACCGGAGUGGACGCAUCACUGGUGUUCGGGUUGUCAUGCCAAUGGCACUGCCCGGUAGCUAAAUGCGGAAGAGAUAAGUGCUGAAAGCAUCUAAGCACGAAACUUGCCCCGAGAUGAGUUCUCCCUGACUCCUUGAG